CCCCUAGUAACUGCGAGUGAAGCGGGAAAAGCUCAAAUUUAAAAUCUGGUAGUCUCUGGCUGCCCGAGUUGUAAUCUAGAGAAGUGUUAUCCGCGCUGGACCAUGUACAAGUCUCCUGGAACGGAGCGUCAUAGAGGGUGAGAAUCCCGUCUUUGACAUGGACUACCAGGGCUUUGUGAUGCGCUCUCAAAGAGUCGAGUUGUUUGGGAAUGCAGCUCAAAAUGGGUGGUAAAUUCCAUCUAAAGCUAAAUAUUGGCGAGAGACCGAUAGCGAACAAGUACCGUGAGGGAAAGAUGAAAAGAACUUUGGAAAGAGAGUUAAACAGUACGUGAAAUUGUUGAAAGGGAAACGCUUGAAGUCAGUCGCAUUGGCCAGGGAUCAACCUUACAUUUGUGGGGUGUACUUUCUGGUCAAUGGGUCAGCAUCAAUUUUGACUGUUGGAAAAAGGUCAGGGGAAUGUGGCAUCUUCGGAUGUGUUAUAGCCCUUGGUUGUAUACAGCAGUUGGGAUUGAGGAACUCAGCACGCCGCAAGGCCGGGUUUUUACCACGUACGUGCUUAGGAUGCUGGCAUAAUGGCUUUAAUCGACCCGUCUUGAAACACGGACCAAGGAGUCUAACAUGCCUGCGAGUGUUUGGGUGGAAAACCCAUGCGCGUAAUGAAAGUGAAAGUUGAGAUCUCUGUCGUGGAGAGCAUCGACGCCCGGACCAGACCUUUUGUGACGGUCCCGCGGUAGAGCAUGUAUGUUGGGACCCGAAAGAUGGUGAACUAUGCCUGAAUAGGGUGAAGCCAGAGGAAACUCUGGUGGAGGCUCGUAGCGAUUCUGACGUGCAAAUCGAUCGUCGAAUUUGGG
rnacentral:rRNA from 1 species